UUAAACAAACAAAUGGAAACAGGGAGAAAAGAGAUAACCCUACACUGAAGAACCGCUUUCCUGCUCGAAGAACAUCAGUGACUCAAAAGGUAAUAAAUGCAGGCUGGACUCCAGCACUGUAAACCAUGCUGGUCUCACGUUAGAGCUAGGGGACAACGUCUGGGUGACCAGACAAGUUUCCCAUGAAGGCAUCAGCCCAAAUCCUGAGGACAAUCCUUAAUCGAGCACCGGGGGCAGAGCAGGGAGGCCAGGCCCACCUGCCUGCACUUUGCCAUCACCAGGGCCCACAGCUGCAGGUGGUUGGCGAGGGGCUGGGGGAUAAAUGAGGAGCUGGGGACAAGGUUUCCCCUCCAGCAGUGUGAGGGGCAGUCUGCACCAGGCUUGUGGGGUAUUGCCUGCUUUGUGCCUGCCUUGGGAAGCACGCGGAGCUGCUGCUUUGGCCGUGAGGCCCUGCUGUGAAGCCUGCAUGUGUGGCUCGGCUGGUGAAGUAAAUUCCCGGCGAUGUCAGAUCGCGUGAUGGUGGAGCCGGUUCGAAGCCCCCGCUCUCAAAGCGACUUCCAGCAGACCAUGACGGGGAUCAAGAGGUUUCCCCCAGCCCACCUCCUCCCUGGUUGGUGUGCGUGGCGCAGGCAGAGAUGCUCUGGGUUUUGUCUCUAAUUAUUGCCUCACCACCCUCUGGGGCAUUGCUGUAGCUGCUGCCCACAUUCACCCCUCUUGACUCAUAAUUGCUGUUGAAGCUUCUGAGACUAGAGAUCAAAGUAUUCAUGUCAUUCAUGUUCCUGUCAAAGGUCUUAUCGUCAAAGCGCCAACUAUAUUUCGAGAGACGUCUCCUUUUCUCAAGAGCAACAGACAAACUUGCCUCUGCCUUUUUUCCCUCCCCGUUGCAGUGGUGCUGCGAGGCAGGGACAGUGCACGGAGGGCCUGGGUGCUGCUGGCCAUCACCAAACCCUGCACCCCGGGGGAUUUAACUGUUGAAUGUCCCAAGCAAAACCUCUGCAUCAAAUUUUUCUCUUUUCUGACCUGUGCUGCAAGGUAGGGCUGGAGCUCACUGCCUGCUGCCUGCAUUUCAUUUGGGCUCCCAGGAGCACGAGUGCAGCUUGCUGAGGGUCAGCACCCUGGCAGGACACCAGCAGGGUGCUGCUGUGGUCAGAGGCGAGGGUAUCCCAUGGCUUGGCUGGUAGUUGUGUUGCUCUUGCAGCACAAAGAGAGGUGAAAGGAAAAAGCUUCCUGAUUUAGUGGGGUUAAAUGCUGGUUUUAAGCUUUGGAAGCAAAUUAUCCUUAAUUUCGGUGAAACGAUUCUCGCCUGCACCCCACCGGACACCCACACAGCUCGGACACCAGCAGUGCCCGGCCAUGGCAGCACCAAUCUACCCAGCCAGCCACGUGCGAGGCGAUCCCUGCGUGGACACACGCCUCUGGAAAAGGAGGAAAGUGCUUCCAGGUGUGGUGCUCAGUCAAAAGGAGUCCCAGCCCCUUCCCCUUCAUCCUCAGUUCCCAAACGGGUGCCCUCAGAUGCUCCCCGGCCGGCUCUGUCCUGCUCUGACUUCUCUCCGAGCCCAGCAGGAAGGGGCUGGCCCGGCUGCUUCAUCCUGCCUGGUUUUAUGGUGUGGGUAAGUGCAAACUUCCAGCGCAGCCUGCAGAGAAGCAGCUGUAAUGGAGCAGUGCUCCAAGGCGCUGCGGGGUUCCUGUGCUCUCCGAAUCACUGUUUUUGUCUCAUGUUUUUAUGCUCGCCAGAAAUAAGUUAUUUCUGGUUAAAGGCAUUCACUGCUGACUUCUGCGCUCAGGCCCCAGGGGCAUUUUCGAGAAGAGGCACUGCAGCGUGGUGCAUUUGACUUCUGGCAAGGCCCUCUCCUCUAGAAAAUCAGCAAAGCCUUGAGCUGGAAAUACUGGGAGUGUCUUGGAAAGAUGGGAUGGGGCCUGCGGGUUCAUUCCCUGCACCCCAGCCCUGUCACUGUGCCAGCGGGCUCAGCGCUGCCUCUGCCCCCGCGCUCAGCGGGGCCAGAUCCUGCCCACCAAGAAGGGGCCGCACGCAGCGGGGCAGCCCCGCCGCCGCAGCAACUUGGGAUGAGUUUCUGCGAGUCCUCGGGAUCCGGAGCAGGAGAAGAACUUUAUAAAAUUCUCCACGACCAGUCGAGCGGAACCUAUUUUCUCUCACAAUGCAAUUAACGGCACCAACAUUUACAAAAUAUGAUUACAAGCACUUUGGUUAAGUAGAGGAAAGUAUAUUAGAUAGCAGCGAGGGGUUGAUCUUAAUGUGCAUUUUUUCGAGAGACUUGCAUUUUCUUUGUGCAAAUAAAGAGGCCCUAAAUUCUCCAUAGGCACUAAAAUCAAUGCAGUGGAACCAUGAUAACAAACACAGGCUCCACUUUUUGCUACAUCCCCCAAUUAAUUAAGCCUUUCACGGGCAUGUAAUUAGGAACAUUAGCAAGUCAUAAAAUUGCCGUGAGUCUCUAAAUUAUGUGCUGGCCCUCAGCAAUUUGUUUUUAAUUCCUUUUGAAGACAAUGGCACUGCGGGGUCCCAUAGAUCUUCAUAGCAGCCUACUGUUUACUUCUUUAUGGCUCUAUGAAGAUCUAACUGUUUUCUACUGCUCCCAGAUGCACCCACGCUAUUUUCUGGCGCGGUUUCAUUACCUGGGUCGGAUUUAAAGGGGAACGGUGCCCGCCUGCCCCGCGCAGCUCCUGGCCACCCGGGCUCCCCCAGCCAGCAGCCGCCGCUCGUGCGCCUGCAUGGGGACGCCCGCGAGGCCAGGGAGAUGGAUAAAUAAAUGAAGCAGGCUCAUUUCAGGGGAAGGUUUAUUUCCCUGUUAUUGUGAUUUACUCCUCCUUGAUGAGAGUGUCUCUUUCACAGCGGAGGCGCGGAAAAACAUUUGUGCGAUCUCGGGGUCAAGAACAGGAGAAAGAAGUAAAUAGUGGAAGCAAAUUGUUUUUUCUUCCAAAAUAUCCUGGGUCAUUUACAGCUGACGGGUCGCCGCAAUAAUAGCCGGACACGUGCUCUAAUAGCUGGGUUGUUUCCUGAUGGAUACGUGGAGCUGGCUGCCCGUUUUUGGCACGGUUUGGGGUUUUGAGGUGCUGGUUUGGUGGGUGGCAGGAGCUGAGCUGCUCCCAACACGCUUCCCACACUCACUGUUCCCCGCUCGUGGUCGAUUAACACUGCGGAAUUACGAAACGGGUUUAAUGAGAAGAAUAAAGAGAAGCUGCAAUAAGA